rnacentral:lncRNA from 1 species
UUGAUCCCUCAACUAAUCAAGAAGAACAACAAAUAAGAAGUGAUUGUAACUAACUCUCAACAACUUGAGAGGAAGAGGAUGAAACCAUCAACAACUUGUGGCACUAACUUUUGAUACCAAGGAAGGAUGCUGCCCACCUCUCUUCUAGCUCCAAGAGGGAUGCCUAGAGAGAGAGGGUGUGGGCUAGAGAGAGAGAGAAG